rnacentral:rRNA from 1 species
GUGUCAGCAGCCGCGGUAAUACGAAGGGUGCAAGCGUUAAUCGGAAUUACUGGGCGUAAAGGGUGCGUAGGCGGCCUUUUAAGUCGGAUGUGAAAUCCCCGGGCUCAACCUGGGAAUGGCAUCCGAUACUGGGAGGCUAGAGUUUGGGAGAGGGUGGUGGAAUUCCCGGUGUAGCGGUGAAAUGCGUAGAGAUCGGGAGGAACAUCAGUGGCGAAGGCGGCCACCUGGCCUAAAACUGACGCUGAAGCACGAAAGCGUGGGGAGCAAACAGGAUUAGAUACCCCCGUAGUCC